AGUGUGGGCCGGUUUUAUGGAUUUAGUAUAUUUACUGAUUUAUCCUUGAUUUAUUCUAUCCAUUUUCUUUCUUUUUUUCUACCAUUUUAUCUACAUUUUUCGGCCAUUUAUGAUCCAUUGUUUUCGGUUGAUUAGUUUGAUUCCAUUAUUUAGAGUGUGGGAAAUUUUAUAAUUUAUAUAAUUCGAUUUUUUUUUUAAUUUUUGUUCGGUUUUGAUUUUGAUUUAUUUGUUUUUAAAUUUAAUCAUUGAUUUGUUACCAAUAAUUUAGUGUUUCUUGUUAUAAUAAUUCUAGGUUUGUUUCUAGCUAUUUUUUUUUCUAAAUUAAUAUUAUUAUUUUUUUCAAAAAUUAUUUCUCCUAAAUUAUGUGUUUAUUUGUUUUUUAUUAAUUUGUUUCAACUAAUUUUGUGUUUCUCCUUAAAAUAAUACUAGAUUUGUUUUU
rnacentral:lncRNA from 1 species